AACGAACGCUGGCGGCGUGUUUAAGACAUGCAAGUCGCACGGGAUCAUUUUGGUAGCAAUACUCGGAUGGUCCAGUGGCGCACGGGUGAGUAACACGUGAAUGACAUGCCCUUGAGAGGGGGAUAGCCCAGGGAAACUUGGAUUAAUACCCCAUAGUAUCGCGAGAUUAAAGGGUGGCCGCAAGGCUGCUGCUCAAGGAUUGGUUCGCGUUCUAUCAGCUUGUUGGCGGGGUAACGGCCCACCAAGGCUACGACGGAUACCUGGUCUGAGAGGACGAGCAGGCACACGGAAACUGAGACACGGUCCAGAAACCUACGGGUGGCAGCAGUCGAGAAUAAUUCACAAUGGGGGAAACCCUGAUGGUGCAACGCCGCGUGGAGGAUGAAGGUCUUCGGAUUGUAAACUCCUGUCAUCCGGGAGCAAGACCUGGCCGUGAAUAGCGGACAGGGUUGAUAGUACCGGAAGAGGAAGGGACGGCUAACUUCGUGCCAGCCGCCGCCGUAAUAC
rnacentral:rRNA from 1 species